ensembl:processed_transcript
UACAUGGUGACGUGAUCUCAAGUUGGACUGUCCAAACUGUUGAACUGUAUGGCGUGCGCACGCUUGUCGUCAAAUACUUCACCAUUAUGAUGAGAUUUUCACUUCACUUUCUACAUAAUACGGCACUCUGAAACUUCACUGGAGAAGAAGAAAGAAACGGCCUGGCGCAAAGUCAAAGGUGCAUGUCAUCAAGUCUUCUCAUGCACUGAAGCAGUGCAGAUGACAUCUGGAUGCUUGUUAUCAGUAAAUCAUUGCAAAGUAAAAUCUCCCUUAACGCUGAUUCCUCCUGGCAGUUCAGUUAAAGCGUGCCUUAAAUACAACCGCCGACUGAAUGUUCCACCCAUAUUAAAAUCCCCAUAUAUAUCACACAGCCAGUGAACAUGUAAACACCGUUAACAGCAAACCGCCAAAAAUAAUCACAGUCAUCAUAAAAGUGCAGUAAUGAAGCUCCACAUAUUUGCCCUACAGAAGCGUCACUAAAGACUCACAAACUGUCCAAACACACACACACAGACAUGCACACAAACGACUCCCUCAGCUCUCUCUCAUACACACACAUGGGAACUCUGAUCUCCGAGGACAAAUUCAGCACUCGGGGACACAUCGACCUGAGAAAAACAAGCCCAACGGUCAUAAUGAGAGGCUUUUUUUAUUAGAGAUGCACAAAAGAAGGCAGAUGCUCGGCUUCGGAUAAUCACAGCCCUCCCUAUUUGUUGCAUGUCAUCCGUGGAUUCUGAGAUCAAAUGUGAUGCAAUCAUGCGUCUUUGGAAUAC